UCCAUGAAGAGCCUUGCCCAGAG
rnacentral:piRNA from 1 species